rnacentral:tRNA from 1 species
GGGACGUAGCUCAACUGGAAGAGCACCGGUCUCCAAAACCGGCGGUUGCGAGUUCGAGCCUCGCCGUUCCUG